UUUCUAUUUAUUUUUUUAUUUGGUAUGCAGAUUAUAUGGAGCUGAAUCACAUUUCUUCAGUCCUCUCAGUAAGUCACAUUUUUAAAUAAAAGAUACAACUUUAAUGCUUUUUUGCAGACAUUAUAAAAUAAUCUCAGUUGCAGAGGUCAGUAUCACAGAUUCUGACGGUGAGGUAUUGGUUGGCCUUCAUGAUCUCGGCAUCAACUCUCCUCGAGCAUCUCUUAAAGUACGAGUACGCUGCAGGAAAUACAAGAGCAACAUGUUAAUUCUGGCAAAAUAUCCACAAAUGAUCCACAGAAUCCACAGAAUCUUUACUGCUGCAGUUUGAGUGGAAUCUAAAUGAAAAUGUGUGUCCACUAAAAGUCCAUAUGUUAUCCCUGACAGGCUCAGAUUGAUAUUCUAAUUGUCUGACAUCAUUACAGUGAUGGAAUAUCUGCAGAAAGCGCUUGAAAUACUUUUUACUUAAAAAAAAAAAAAACUUUUAAAGCCUUUGAAAAACUUUUAAAGGGUGCACUGAAAUCGACUGAGGACUGCUGCAGGAUGGAGUGAUCUAAAAAAGCUCUUUUAAAAAUGUUUGAGUCAUGCAAACUCAAAAUUGUGCAAAAUAAUGUAUAAUUACUGCAGUUUAAGAUCACUUACUUGGGUAACUGAUGGUUACGUAGAUACAAACAUCGUGACGUUCUUCACACUCCUCCUCUGUUUUAUGGCAUGAUCCACCCAUUCUCGCAGGGACACAACGGUUACACCUCAGAGCCUCUGCUGCAA